AGUGAUGACUUCCAAGGGAAAAUGAUGGUCCUAAAAAUGGAGGAUUACAGGUUAGGGAAGGUUGGGCUUAUACGGCUAAGAUACCAGUAAAAGAUUGAUGCGCGGACUUCUAGUUUUGGGAAGAUGGGACGAAAAGAAAUAAUGGAUAGAGGAAUCGAACACCGUCUUCCGGGGAUGCAAGACGAGCUUCUCUCCGAGCACGUCGGCGGAGUUAUUUGGGUAGAGAGACAUCGCGGGGCACAGUGGCAAGGAAGGAGUUGGUGCCUCUGACAUCUGCGAGUGGAGUUAUGUUUGCCGAACGAUAUUUCGGAGGAGAGGUUGGCUCCACGGAGAUUCGAGAACAGUCGAAAGCAUGAUAAGGACUGAAGAAGACUAAAUUGGGAUCAAAAUCCUGGGAUAUUUUAGCCUCCUGAAGAGCUCGCGAGCCUGUUUGAUUGACAGCUGCCACCUGAGAGUCCUGAAAGAGCUCCCCUUAACCCUCGGUUGCCACAUCAUGAAGAUUCAACCUCCGCACUGAUAUUUUUCUGUAGAAGAGUGGUCUUCAAAACGGACGCUUGCCUCACGCUGACAUAGCCGUGAAGGGGACGUUGAGAGUGUCUUAUAAUUUACCCAUUAAAACAAAUCCAACAGCGCUUGAU